rnacentral:rRNA from 1 species
AACGAACGCUGGCGGCAUGCCUAACACAUGCAAGUCGAACGAGACCUUCGGGUCUAGUGGCGCACGGGUGCGUAACGCGUGGGAACCUGCCCUUAGGUUCGGAAUAACUCCCCGAAAGGGGUGCUAAUACCGGAUAAUGUCUUCGGACCAAAGAUUUAUCGCCUUUGGAUGGGCCCGCGUUGGAUUAGCUAGUUGGUAGGGUAAAAGCCUACCAAGGCGACGAUCCAUAGCUGGUCUGAGAGGAUGAUCAGCCACACUGGGACUGAGACACGGCCCAGACUCCUACGGGAGGCAGCAGUGGGGAAUAUUGGAAAAUGGGCGAAAGCCUGAUCCAGCAAUGCCGCGUGAGUGAUGAAGGCCUUAGGGUUGUAAAGCUCCUUUACCCGGGAUGAUAAUGACAGUACCGGGAGAAUAAGCUCCGGCUAACUCCGUG